UCUCGACUCUCUCUCUCUCUCUGUUUUGCUCUCUCGGCAUACAUUUGGAUCCUUGAUAUUCCGAAAUACUUCAAUCUUUCUUUCUAAAAGGUGAGGACUAAUGCUCGAAUUGUGGAAGGGGAUCCAGGUAAAGUAAUUUGCAAGUUUUGUGUAUGUCCAGACUUCAAAAAAGGUGUCAAGAAAGGAAAAAAACAAAAAAAGAGUAUAGAAGCAACCGUUAUUGCUAUUAACAGGGAAGAAAGGAAGCCAGGAAUAAGAAUUUCGGAUGGAGUUUCUAAUAAUUCACAUAGGGAAUCACAUACUCCCUACGCUUAAUAGUCCAAUUAGGUGUGAAAAUGAGACAACCUCAGAUUAUUUGAAGAGACCUCCAAGGGGAAAAGCAAAGGGGGAUAAAGAUUUUAAGAACAAAGGUCGGGUUGAAGUUCAGUUCAAUGUCAGAGGUCAACCUGAUGGAGAAUAUGCAGCAGGUUUCUCCUCCUUCCUUGGAGUCACAGCAAGAGAGUUCGUACCAUUGACAACUGAGUGGAAAAACCUCACUGAUCUGUACAAAAGACAAAUUUGGGAACAUAUCACGCGAAAAUAUAUUGUUCCAGAAAUUUGCAAAAGGAAUGUGUUCCGUAAAAUGAUGAAGCUGUGGCGAGAUUACAGAUCAUUGACAAUGAAAGAAGUGAUGCAGCAAGCUGAAUCGGUAGGCUUACCACGUGCUGCUGCCCUCCUCAAAUCUGAUAAUAUAGAUUCAAUGGAAGUGGCUAGAUUUUGUAAAAUCCAGAACGACAGAAGCAUUUAGGGUAAGUUAAUUUUCUGCAAAACAUGUUAUAUUUGCUUUAUGUGAAAACAUUAAUAUUAUCACCUUGGUUUUUGAUAGGAAAAGUGUGAAAGAUUCAGGUUGAUGCGACAAGGCAGAACCUUAUUGCAUAGAACAAGUAGAAAAAGUUUUGCAUGUCUUGAAGAAGAGCUGAAGCAACAAAGUGAGACACCGGAUGCAAUAUCAAGGUCCGCUAUUUGGCUUCGUGCCUAUGAAGUGAAGAAAAAAGCAAGUGAAGAAGUUGAGGAUCCGGAAAUACAGAAAUAGUGAAACUAGUACGAAAGUACAAGGAAGAAGAAGAAGUAACACUACCAUGUUCGAUAAAAGCUGAUGCUGUUGCAAAGGCACUUGGUCCGCGAGGACGAGUUAGAGGGCUUGGGUUUGUUGCACUCCCUUCAAAAGUGGAUGGUCAGACACACGUUGCUAAUAAGGUCACUAUGCUAGAGAACGCUCUUGCUGCUCAAACACAACAGGUGGACCGAUUGACAGAGUUAGUGCAAGGUCUCGCUGCAGAUUUGAUAUCUUGGGCAGGAAUCGUAAUGGUUGUCACUGCUUGUCUUUGUAGGCUAUAUGAUGUACAACUUCUUUAUGGGACAUGGUUGGCAUGUGGCAUCGUAUCAAGCUAUCAUCAGCCCCUUCAAGUACUCAUGUAAUCAAUCGGAAGACAAUUCUAAUCUAGCUAGCAUGUUUUAUAUUUGAAAACCA